rnacentral:rRNA from 1 species
AUUGAACGCUGGCGGCAGGCCUAACACAUGCAAGUCGAGCGGAUGAAGGGAGCUUGCUCCUGGAUUCAGCGGCGGACGGGUGAGUAAUGCCUAGGAAUCUGCCUGGUAGUGGGGGAUAACGUCCGGAAACGGGCGCUAAUACCGCAUACGUCCUGAGGGAGAAAGUGGGGGAUCUUCGGACCUCACGCUAUCAGAUGAGCCUAGGUCGGAUUAGCUAGUUGGUGGGGUAAAGGCCUACCAAGGCGACGAUCCGUAACUGGUCUGAGAGGAUGAUCAGUCACACUGGAACUGAGACACGGUCCAGACUCCUACGGGAGGCAGCAGUGGGGAAUAUUGGACAAUGGGCGAAAGCCUGAUCCAGCCAUGCCGCGGGUGUGAAGAAGGUCUUCGGAUUGUAAAGCACUUAAGUUGGGAGGAAGGGCAGUAAGUUAAUACCUUGCUGUUUUGACGUUACCAACAGAAUAAGCACCGGCUAACUUCGUG